UACAGAGGUCUCAAGCGUUGUUCGGAUUCAUUGGGCGUAAAGGGUGUGUAGGUGGCGCGCUAAGUCGGGUGUGAAAUUUCGGAGCUUAACUCCGAAACUGCAUUCGAUACUGGCGUGCUUGAGGACUGGAGAGGAGACUGGAAUUUACGGUGUAGCAGUGAAAUGCGCAGAUAUCAGGAGGAACACCAAUGGCGAAGGCAGCUCGCUGGGACGGUACUGACGCUGAGGCGCGAAAGCGUGGGGAGCAAACAGG
rnacentral:rRNA from 1 species